UGGCUAGACCGGCGCACGGGUGCGUAACACGUAUGCAACCUACCUUAUACUGGGGGAUAACUUCGAGAAAUCGGCGCUAAUACCCCAUAACACUGCGAAGAGGCAUCUCUUUGCAUUUAAAGCUGAGGCGGUAUAAGAUGGGCAUGCGUCCAAUUAGCUAGUUGGUGAGGUAACGGCUCACCAAGGCUACGAUUGGUAGGGGUUCUGAGAGGAUGAUCCCCCACACUGGUACUGAGACACGGACCAGACUCCUACGGGAGGCAGCAGUGAGGAAUAUUGCGCAAUGGACGAAAGUCUGACGCAGCCAUGCCGCGUGCAGGAUGACGGCCCUAUGGGUUGUAAACUGCUUUUGUAUGGGAAUAAACCCUUCUACGUGUAGAAGGCUGAAGGUACCAUAAGAAUAAGCACCGGCUAACUCCGUGCCAGCAGCCGCGGUAAUACGGAGGGUGCAAGCGUUAUCCGGAUUUAUUGGGUUUAAAGGGUCCGUAGGCGGGCCGAUAAGUCAGUGGUGAAAGCCCAUAGCUCAACUAUGGAACUGCCAUUGAUACUGUCGGUCUUGAGUAUAUGUGAUGUUGGCGGAAUGUGUAGUGUAGCGGUGAAAUGCUUAGAUAUUACACAGAACACCGAUUGCGAAGGCAGCUGACAAAUAUAUAACUGACGCUGAGGGACGAAAGUGUGGGGAUCAAACAGGAUUAGAUACCCUGGUA
rnacentral:rRNA from 1 species